CUAGGAACAUUCAGCCAAACAUGGGUAUCUUGAGAUUUUGCAUAUUUUGUGUUUUGUGCAAUAGGGACUAAAUUGUAAAAAGUGUAAAUGCCAAGGGUAAAAUGGUAAUUUUCCCAUUUAUGUGUCUUUGGAUUAAAUUGAAUGAAAAUAUGUUUGAAUGAGCUUAAUUUGAAUAUGUUUAGAUCAAGAACCAAAUAAAUCGAAUUUGGAUCAGGGGAAAAUGAAAGUUGUUGACUAGCUGUCUCGUUCCGGUUUU
rnacentral:lncRNA from 1 species